CAGGAAACAGAGGUGUGACUUAAGAAGAACAGCAUAUGCAGCCAUGAAAACACACCACAGAUGAUCGUUCCUAAAGUCAGCCAUGAAAGACAACAAGAUGAUCACACUCUUCUUCAUGACCUUUAAUAUCGUACUGGUCUCAGGUUCCUCUCUCAGUGACAAAGUCCAGCAGCUUCCAGCUCACAUUUACAAGAAACCAACAGAAACAGCCAAAAUCUACUGUUCACACAGUAUUGACAGCUACAAUGUAAUCCUCUGGUACAAGCAGAUAAAUAACAGAGAGCUUCAGUUCCUAGGAUACAUGUUUGCAAACGUGGAAAACCUCGAGCCUGGAUCUGGUGUGCAAAUGGACGGGAACGCGAAUAAAGAUCAGAAUGUCACAUUAACAAUUGAUGGACUGAACCUGAACAGCAGUGCAGUGUAUUUCUGUGCUGCUCGUUUACACAAUGAAACACAUCAUCUGCUCCUCAGUACAAAAACCUGCACAUGAGGUUCUUUCAUCAGCUCCCAGCCCCUUACACACACACACCCUCCUGUCAUUAGGGGGCAGUAUUUGUACUUUCUGUUUCUCUGAACUGUGGUGAGAGUUGAUAUGACAGUUAUGAAGUUGAGAGACGAGGGAGUUGACUCAUACAGGAGGUGUAACUGCUGAUGGACUGAAGAAACCACAAUGAUCCACUGCAACAAGGUUUAACCAAACAGCCAGAGAACACAAAAUGAUUGUCCUGUUUUAUUUUAUCUUCAGCUUGACUUUCAACAAUACUUUGGUUUCAGGUUCCUCUCUCAUUCACAAAGUCCAGCAGAGUCCAGCAAACAUUUACAAGACACCAAUAGAAACAGCCAAAAUCAGCUGUUCACACAGUAUUGACAACUAUGAUAGAAUCAUCUGGUACAAACAGAUUAAUAACAGACAGCUUCAGUUCCUGGGAUACAUGUUUGUAGACACUUAUUUUCCAGAGACUGGAUCUGGUGUGAAAAUGGACGGGAACGGGAAUAAAGAUGAGACGUGCAUAUUAACAAUUGAAGGACUGAACCUGAACAGCAGUGCAGUGUAUUUCUGUGCUGCAAGUUCACACAGUAACACCACCAUGUGCUCCCCAGUACAAGAACCUCACAAUCACACAGUUCUCCUCU